rnacentral:rRNA from 1 species
AGAGUUUGAUCAUGGCUCAGAUUGAACGCUGGCGGCAUGCUUUACACAUGCAAGUCGAACGGCAGCGGGGUAGUGCUUGCACUACUGCCGGCGAGUGGCGAACGGGUGAGUAAUAUAUCGGAACGUACCGAGUAAUGGGGGAUAACCAAUCGAAAGAUUGGCUAAUACCGCAUACGUCCUGAGGGAGAAAGCGGGGGAUCGCAAGACCUCGCGUUAUUCGAGCGGCCGAUAACUGAUUAGCUAGUUGGUGGGGUAAAGGCCUACCAAGGCGACGAUCAGUAGCGGGUCUGAGAGGACGAUCCGCCACACUGGGACUGAGGACACGGCCCAGACUCCUACGGGAGGCAGCAGUGGGGAAUUUUGGACAAUGGGGGCAACCCUGAUCCAGCCAUGCCGCGUGUAUGAAGAAGGCCUUCGGGUUGUAAAGUACUUUUGUUCGGGAAGAAAAGGAGGGUGCUAAUACCACCCUUUGCUGACGGUACCGAAAGAAUAAGCACCGGCUAACUACGUGCCAGCAGCCGCGGUAAUACGUAGGGUGCGAGCGUUAAUCGGAAUUACUGGGCGUAAAGCGAGCGCAGAUGGUUAUUUAAGCAGGAUGUGAAAUCCCCGGGCUCAACCUGGGAACUGCGUUCUGAACUGGAUAGCUAGAGUGUGUCAGAGGGGGGUAGAAUUCCACGUGUAGCAGUGAAAUGCGUAGAGAUGUGGAGGAAUACCGAUGGCGAAGGCAGCCCCCUGGGAUAACACUGACGUUCAUGCUCGAAAGCGUGGGUAGCAAACAGGAUUAGAUACCCUGGUAGUCCACGCCCUAAACGAUGUCGAUUAGCUGUUGGGCAACUUGAUUGCUUAGUAGCGUAGCUAACGCGUGAAAUCGACCGCCUGGGGAGUACGGUCGCAAGAUUAAAACUCAAAUGAAUUGACGGA